rnacentral:rRNA from 1 species
CCUACGGGAGGCAGCAGUGAGGAAUAUUGCACAAUGGACGCAACCCUGAUCCAGCCACGCCGCGUGAAGGAAGACGGCUCUAUGUGUGGUAAGCUGCAUCUGUACGACGGUAAACGCAGAUACCCGUAUCAGUCUGAAAGUCUCGUACGAAUAAGGAUCGCCUAACUCUGGGCCAGCAGCCGCGGUAAUACGGAGGGUUCAAGCGUGAACCGGAUUUAAUGGGUUAAAAGGGGGCGUAGGCGGUGGGAGAAGGUUGGGGUGAAACCCCGGGGCUCAACUUCGGAAUUGCCUCUGAUGCUGUGCGGCUAGAGAGUAGUUGCGGUAGGCGGAAUGUAUGGUGUAGCGGUGAAAUGCGUAGAGAUCAUACAGAACACCGGUGGCGAAGGCAGCUUACCGGACUGUUACUGACGUUGAGGCACGAAAGCGUGGGGAGCAAACAGGAUUAGAUACCCCUGUAGUC